CAUUAUACGGCGAACUGCGAAUGGCUCAUUAUAUAAGUUAUCGUUUAUUUGAUAGCACCUUUCUACUCGGAUAACUGUGGUAAUUCUAGAGCUAAUACGUGCUGAAAAUCCCGACUUCGGAAGGGCUGUAUUUAUUAGAUUAAAAACCAAUGCCCCUCGGGGCUUCUUGGUGAUUCAUGAUAACUUCUCGAAUCGCAUGGCCUUGCGCCGGCGAUGGUUCAUUCAAAUUUCUUCCCUAUCAACUUUCGAUGCGAGGGUAUUGUCCUCGCAUGGUUACAACGGGUAACGGAGGGUUAGGGCUCGACCCCGGAGAAGGAGCCUGAGAAACGGCUACUACAUCCAAGGAAGGCAGCAGGCGCGCAAAUUACCCAAUCCCGACACGGGGAGGUAGUGACAAUAAAUACUGAUACAGGGCUCUUUUGGGUCUUGUAAUCGGAAUGAGUACAACUUAAAUCCCUUAACGAGGAACAAUUGGAGGGCAAGUCUGGUGCCAGCAGCCGCGGUAAUUCCAGCUCCAAUAGCGUAUAUUAAAGUUGUUGUGGUUAAAAAGCUCGUAGUUGAACCUUGGGCCUGGCUACAAGGACCGCCUCACCGCGAGAUCUUUCCGUAGCCGGGUCUUUCCCGCUGUGGAACCCCAUGGCCUUCACUGGUUGUGGCGGGGAAACAGGACUUUUACUUUGAAAAAAUUAGAGUGCUCCAGGCAGGCCUAUGCUCGAAUACAUUAGCAUGGAAUAAUAAAAUAGGACGCGUGGUUCUAUUUUGUUGGUUUCUAGGACCGCCGUAAUGAUUAAUAGGGACAGUCGGGGGCAUCAGUAUUCAAUUGUCAGAGGUGAAAUUCUUGGAUCUAUUGAAGACUAACUACUGCGAAAGCAUUUGCCAAGGAUGUUUUCAUUGAUAAGGAACGAAAGUUAGGGGAUCGAAGACGAUCAGAUACCGUCGUAGUCUUAACUAUAAACUAUGCCGACUAGGGAUCGGACGAUGUUAUAUUUUGACUCGUUCGGCACCUUUCGAGAAAUCAAAG
rnacentral:rRNA from 1 species